AGGCUUUGAUCCUGGCUCAGGACGAACGCUGGCGGCGUGCUUAACACAUGCAAGUCGAGCGAAGUGAUUAAAAUGGAAUUUUUCGGAAUGAAAUUUUAAUUAUCUUAGCGGCAAACGGGUGAGUAACGCGUGAGAAACCUGCCUUUCACAAGGGGAUAGCCUCGGGAAACUGGGAUUAAUACCUUAUGAUACUAAGAAGACACAUGUUUUCCUAGUUAAAGCGCAAAGCGGUGAAAGAUGGUCUCGCGUCCCAUUAGCUAGUUGGUGAGGUAACUGCUCACCAAGGCGACGAUGGGUAGCCGGCCUGAGAGGGUGAACGGCCACACUGGAACUGAGACACGGUCCAGACUCCUACGGGAGGCAGCAGUGGGGAAUAUUGCACAAUGGAGGAAACUCUGAUGCAGCGACGCCGCGUGAACGAUGAAGGCCUUCGGGUUGUAAAGUUCUGUCCUAGGGGACGAUAAUGACGGUACCCUAGGAGGAAGCCCCGGCUA
rnacentral:rRNA from 1 species